CGUAAAGGUGGAUGAGUGGUGUUUGGUUUGUUACGUGUGGUUGGCUGCGGCGUUUGCAACAACUUCCAUGCUUUCAGACCUCUUCAGUUGUGCGGCAAGGCUUGUAUCGCCUUGAGCGUAUAGUGGGUUUUCUGUGUUGGCUACCUAAUCAACGGUAUCGGUUGGAUUGAUCAAAGUUUGAUUUCGUCUUCCGUCACAUUCGUGGCGUGAGGUGAACCUCGAUGCGGUCUCUUUGAUCCACCUCGUCGAAGCACAUGCUUUGACGUUGUGGCGCAUUGAGCAUUGCUUGGUCUCUUGUAUACGGAACAUAUAGUGGGCAUGGAUCUAACGAUUCUCGUUUGCCCUCAUAUUAGCGUAACGCUUCUCUUACACGACUUGCUCCACGUUUUAGCUCGUACGGACGUGGUGCUAUGUCGAAGAGGAAUGCUACCUGGUUGAUCCUGCCAGUAGUCAUAUGCUUGUCUCAAAGAUUAAGCCAUGCAGGUGUAA
rnacentral:misc_RNA from 1 species